AUUUCUGACGCGCGACUGGCGGCGACGUCACGAGGGGAAAUUUAUAAGGUGCCUCUGUGGCCACGCCCACUGGGAUGUCCUUGACAGCAGCGAGAUUUAAAUACAUAGGUGGUGUUCUUAAACGUUUCUGGUCGAGAGACAAAGAUGACGAGUACAUAACAAAUCUGUUUUGGGCAGAGUAAAGAGAUUGAAGUACAGAUACGUGAAAAAUCUACUUAAGUACAGUCACAAAUUAUUUUGAUACCAAUUAAACAUAACUACCUUGUGUAUGGAAAUUGCAAAAUCAUUUUAAAAUCAAAUUUAGUUUUAGAGGGAAAAAAAGGAUAAAGCCAAAACUAAGAUUUGAAUACCAAACCUCAGAAACGUGACGCAGAUGAUCAAACCACUACACCACCAUCAAUCUCAAAUCCUCCAUGUUGUUUUCGCAUUUAGGCUCAUUUGACUGUGAGCUGUGUCUGGCCUGAAGAAAUAGCCUCCAUUAUUCUCCGUUGACUAAAAAAAGGAACCGGGAGCAGUUGGUUGUUCUUGUGCACUUGUUGGCUUUCACCAGUGAUGCUGACCAAAGGAGCAACAAGCAGCUGCUCGGAACCUCGGCAACGCAGAGCGACGCUUCGUGAUGAAGACGAUCCAACCUGGUCCGUUCAGGGAAUCCCCUCCUCCCCUCCAUUUUCGUCACCGGGAUUAAUUCCUGCCUUUGGAUCAGCUCCCAACGGGAGCUCCAGCAGAGCAGCGGUUUAUCCCAUGUGGAUGGAGUUGAAAUGCAACUUCUGCUCCCAAGCGGGCCACUGAAGGAGGAGCAGCAAAGGUCUCGUCUUGAUCCCUGGAGCCCAAACAAUUGGAUCUCGGCGCGGAUAGCCCCAAGGCAAAGCCAUCUGCCAUAGAAAGGAGAAAGAGAGUCCCAUUGUGGGGUCAGCUAUUGUGGAAUGCCAGCGCGGAUUGAUGAAGGCUUGGCCGAUUCCUUUAAAACGGAGACGACACGGCAGGGGAGGGGAGGGGAACC